UGCCAGCAGCCGCGGUAAUACGUAGGGUGCAAGCGUAGUUCGGAAUUACUGGGCUUAAAGAGUUCGUAGGUGGUCGAAAAAGUUAGUGGUGAAAUCCCAGAGCUUAACUCUGGAACUGCCAUUAAAACUUUUCAGCUAGAGUAUGAUAGAGGAAAGCAGAAUUUCUAGUGUAGAGGUGAAAUUCGUAGAUAUUAGAAAGAAUACCAAUUGCGAAGGCAGCUUUCUGGAUCAUUACUGACACUGAGGAACGAAAGUGUGGGGAGCAAACAGGAUUAGAUA
rnacentral:rRNA from 1 species